AGAGUUAAAUAGUACGUGAAAUUGCUAAAAGGGAAACGAUUGAAAUCAGUGUUGGUUGCAGGGAAUCAACUAGUCAGCAAUGGCUGGUGCACUUCUCUGUAGCCAGGUCAACAUCAGUUUUGGAUGAGGUAAAUUAGUGUAGGAAGGUAGCUCCCUCGGGAGUGUUAUAGCCUGCAUGACUGCCUUGACUGAGACUGAGGACUGCAGUGCAUGCUUUCGGGCAGACGAACCAGGUGCUGCCGGUUGGCUGGGUAGAGACAGCAUGCUGACUCUGCGCAGUCCGUCGGUACCCGCUUGGCUAGUACUAAUGCGCUAAGGAUGUUGACUAAAUGGUUUUAAACGACC
rnacentral:rRNA from 1 species